GAGAAAGGUUUGAUUUGGGAGUGAAAGGGUAGCCCUGAGGAGUAGUAGGGGAACGGGCAGCAGAGAGAAAUAGGAGCCUCAGAAAGUAGAGAGAAAGCGCUAAGGUGACAGUCAUCGACUGUGCCCCUGGAGGCCAAGCCUGGGAUAAGCCAUCAGCAUUGGCCAUGAGCACUCGACUCCUCAGCCUGGCCCAGUCCAGCCAUCUCCCCGGAGUGGAGAAAAAAACAGAAGAAUCUGGGGAAGGAAACACUCCAAGUGCCUACUUCCUCCUCCCCUUCUCAAUAGUUAUUUCAGAAUGUUUCUUAUGUGAGUAGGGAGGGAACUGAUCCCGGAAGCUACACUGCCAGGGUGCUGAGGGCUUUUCACUGAAAGCAGCGGAAUCUCACUGCUGAGUGUGGAGAAAGACUCCUCUGAUUUCAGAAGAUUCCUGAGCCCUGGAAGUGAACCAGGCAUAACAAAAAUGUGAAGUCGAAGGCAGCUGGGAAAGCUAGGCCCCUUCCUGCCCACGGCCAGGAGGACAGGCAUCCUGGAUGUUCUAGAAUUCAGUGAACACAGUCCUGGCAUCCUGGAUGUUCUAGAAUUCAGUGAACACAGUCCUGGAUACAGCAAAAUUUCAUUCUGGUGUUGUAAACUGUGCACUGCCGAGCAUCGUAGCUAAGAGUUUUGAUAUGUGUGGCACCUGUAUAUAUCACUGGAAAAGUUCGGAGGGCAAGAGAGGUAACUGAGGCUUGGAGAGGAAAGCUGUCACUUGCCCAUGUUCACUCCGAAUGCAUGACUGCGUGGGCUGGGGGAUGAGACCUUCUGAUGUCCAGUCUCGGCCACCAGAGGCAGGACCGUGAGAGGCCACAGCUUUGUCCACUCCUGUUAGCACAGACUUCUGGAGCCUGUUAUCCAGUUUGAAUUCUCGGCUUCACCACUUACUAACGACACCUGAUGGAAUUGUACUUCCUGGAUCUUUUUGGUUCAGUAGCGCUCUGUUCUGGCCAAUGGAUUGUGUCACUUCCAAGUUCAGCGUCUAACAUUCAUGCCCUACUACGUACCAGAUACCAUUCCAGGCUCUGGGGAUUUCACAGUGAACAGGACAGACAAAGUUCCUGCCUGAGCUGGAAAGACAGACGACAGAACAAGACAAAGUCAUAUAUGCUAUAGUGUCAGAUGUGAGAAGUUACAUAACCCAAAAUAAAUCUGGGAUAGGGCAUAGAGGGCGACGGAGGAGGGAUUAUUUUAAAUAAAGUUGACAAAAGUAAAGGCAAACAGUCCACGUUUAGCCCUCCCAACGUCCCUUUAGAUAAAUGAUCCAAAUCUCAACUAUAUGUAAAUAUGAACAUUCUCUUGCAGACUUAAAAUGUUAAAAUGCUUCAAGAUGCCCAAAUCUUGGUUUCUAAACAUCGCUCUGUCUCAGUCCGUUCAGGCUGCUAUGACCAAAAUACCAGAGACUGGGUGGUUUAAACAACAAACGUUGAUUCCUCACAGUUCUGGAGGCUAGGAAGUCCAAGAUCAAGUGCCAGCAGAUUCGGUGUCUGGUGAGGGCCCCUUCCUGGUUCUUAGAUGGCCAUCUUCUCACUGUGUCCUCACAUGGCAGAAAGAGCAAGGGUGCUCUCUGGGGUCUCUUUCAUGAGGCCACUAAUCCUCCUCAUGAAGGCUCCACCCUCGUGACUUAAUCCCUCCCAAAGGCCUCACCUCCUAAUGCCAUUACAUUGGGUGUUAGGAUUUUAACAUGAAUUUGGGAGGGACACAAAUAUUCAGCCUAUAGCCGCUGCCUGAAAACAAACCACGACUCUUUAGAGAAACCACUGAUUUUUCAGGUCUGAGUCAGGAAAGGGACAAGAAGAUCCUGGGACAUACUGUUAUGCCAGAAAAUGCAGACGCAUUCAAAGACUAAUAACAGGGUUGUGCUAGUCUUUAACCUGCCACAGAAAACAGGUUAUAGGGCUUCCAACUGCCAAAUGGGGGGCUGCUUAAGUAUCAUGAAGAGUAAUAACUCUAACCGAUAUUACAUUGAUGAUUAAAAUUCAUGAGUUUGUGGUGAUAUGUUUUUAAAAAAGGGAAAGAGGCUCUGUUUUAUAGAAUGCCAAUAGAAGAUAUUAUAGAAUCAGAGAAUCAUGGAAUACCGAUUCAUGCAAGGAUCAUCUUGAAUGUUAAUUUCCUGUUGCUGAUGUAACAAAUUACUACAAACUUAGUGUCUUAAAACAAGACAUUUAUUAUUUUAUACUUCUGGAGAUCAGAAGUCUAAAAUGGGCCAGCACAGCCGCUUUCCUUCUGCAGACUCUGGGGAGAAUUUGAUUCUUCCUUUUUCUAGUUUCUGAUGUUCUCUAUACUCCUUGGGUCUCAUGGCCCCACAUCACUCCAACCUCUGCUUCCAUGAUUGCAUCUCCUUCUGUCUCACUCUGACCCUGUUGUGUCCUUUUUAUAUGGACCCUGUGACAGCAUUGGGCUGACCUGGAUAAUCCAGGAUACUCUCCCCAUCAUAAGAUCCUUAAUCAUAUCUGCAAAGCCCCAUGUGUUAUAUAAUGUGAAGUACACAAACCACUUAUAAGAUAUUCUUGCCAAAAAGGUUUAACUUGAAUCUAAUCAAGCCUUUAGCCCUAACUUCCAUCUUACAGAAAUGACGCCAUAGUUAAAUAAUCAGACAUUUGGGAUGUGGGACUUGCUGUAUGUCCACUACCCUAGAUGCCUCAAAAUUGCAAUGUCAUAAAAAAGGAUGGGGAUAUUCUAAAAUUUUUAAAAAGACAAAAGACAUAGUAACCAAAUGCAAUAUGUGACACUUGAUUGGAUCUUGGUUCAAAAAGACAUUUUAAAGACAAUUGGUGGAAUUUUAAGUUUGGCUUGAUGAUAUGGAAUAUUGCUAAUGUUCUUAUGUUUAUAUCGGAUAAUGUCCUUAUUUUUUGGAAAUGCAUCUUGAAAUAUUUAGAAGUAAAGUUUAUGAUGUAUGAACCUUACUUUCAAAUGGUUUAGAUAAAAGCAGUGUGUGUGCAUGUGUGAUAAUUGCAAUUUAUAAUAAGAAAUACGAGGGCCGGCCCCGUGGCCGAGUGGUUAAGUUCACGUGCUCUGCUUCGGCGGCCCAGGGUUCGGAUCCUGGGCACAGACAUGGCACCACCCAUCAGGCCACAUUGAGGCGGCAUCCCACAUGCCACAACUAGAAGAACCCACAACUAAAAUAUACAACUAUGUAUUGGGGGGAUUUGGGGAGGAAAAAAAAAGCAGGGAAAAAGAAAAAAAAUUACAUUUAAGAAAUACGUAUUUGGUCUUCAUCUUGGUUCUUGUCACAGGGCUCCUAAAACCCUGGGAAUUUCCCAAGUGAUAAGAGUGAUAGAGGGGUCUUGAUCCUCAUUACAAACCCCUUCUGACCACACCUGAGUUUAUAUUGAUGCGUUCACUUUGGGAGAACCUAAGGACGGGGGCUGGUUUCCAGGAGAAUCAACCUGUGAUUAGAGGUCUGGAACUUUCAGCCCCACCCCUCUGACUUCCACGGACGGGAGAGGGGCUGGAGGCUAGAUUGAUUGCUGAUGGCUAAUGAUUUAAUCAAUCACGCCUAUGUAAUGAAAGCCUCCAUGAAAACCCAAGAGGAGCAGGUUCAGAGAGCUGCCGGGUUGGUGAACACCCGCAGAUGUGGAGAGUGCGGCAGCUCAGAGAGGAUGAAGCUCCACGCCCCUCCCCACGUACCUUGCCCUAAACAUCUCUUCCACCUGCUUUUCCCGAGUUAUACCCUUUUAUAUCAAAUGGGUGAGAUAGAAAGUAAAAUGUUUCUCUGAGUUCUUUGAGCCACUCUAGCAAAUUAAUGGAACCCAAGAUGAGGGUCAUUGCGACCUCCAAUCUACAGCGAAGUUUUGAAGUCAUCACAAGCCCAGGUGAUAACCUGGACUUGCGAUUGGUGUGGGGGUGUGGAGGUGGGCGGGUGGAAUCUUGCAGGAUUGACCCCUUAACCUGUGGAAUCUGCUAUCUCCAGGCAGAUAGUGUCAGAAUUGAGUGGAAUUGUAGGACACCCAGCUGGUGUCCCACAAUUGCUUAGUGGUGUGGGGAACCCCCACACAAGACACACACUGGAAUCCGGUACCAGAUUUGUGCGUGUGUGUGUGUGUGUGUGUGUGUUUGUGAAAAGAGAGAGAAAGAGAAAAAGAGAGACAGAGAUGAAACAAUACGGCAAAAUAUUAACAUUUGUUGACUCUAAGAGGAGAGUAUAUAGUUGUGCAUCAUACUUGUAGUAUUUAAUUUUAUCUGUCAACUUGGCUAGGUCAUGGUAUGCAGAUAGUUGGUCAAACAUUAUUCUAGAUGUUUCUGUGAAGGUGUUUUUUAGAUGAGAUUAAGAUUUAAAUCAGCAGACUGAGUAAAGCAGGUUAUCCUCCAUCAUGUGGGUGGGCCUCAUCCAAUCAGUUGAAGGUCUUAAUAGAAAAAGACCGAUUCCCCAGAAGAAGAAGGAAUUCCCCCAGCUGACCUGCUUCAGACUUGAACUGCAGCAUCAACUCUUCCCUGGGGCUCCAGCCGGCUGGCCUGUUGUGCAAAUUUUGGACACACCAGCCUCUACAAUUUCAUGAGCCAAUUCCCUAAAGUAUCUCAAUCUCUCUCUCUCCACAUUAUACACAUAUGUGUAAUCUGUAUAUAUAAUAUAUAUGUAAUAUAUAUAGCGCAUAUCUAAUAGGAUAUAUAUGUAGAUAUCCCAUUGGUUCUGUUUCUCUGGGGAACCCUAAUGAAAUAUCCUUCUUUCAACUUCCCAGUAUGUUUGACAAUAUUUCUAAUAAAAAGUUAGAAAAAAAUUUAAAUUUUGGUAAAUAUAAGAGCCCUCAGGAGUUUUAGGUGCAGUGUCUUGGUGCUCAUAGCUAUGCUUGUAGCAGAGAAAAUUAGCCCUUAUGGAGAGGAGUCUGAGUCUAGCCAGAUUGAAAUUAUGCACCACCUGUCAGUUUGCAAAUAGUUUUGAGGCUUUGCUCUGCUGGGGGCUGUGCUCGGUGCGGGGCGAGGGAGUGGCCACUGAAAGCGGUCCUUGCCAACCUCUUCCUGUGGCAUCGCAGCACCACACCUGCAGGCCAAGUUCAUGGGGACAAAGUACAGGACAUCCGACCAGCGCUUGGUCUCGGGAGAGUGCUCUUGGACACAGGAUCUCGG
ensembl:lncRNA